rnacentral:rRNA from 1 species
AACGAACGCUGGCGGCAUGCCUAACACAUGCCAGUCGAACGAGACCUUCGGGUCUAGUGGCGCACGGGUGCGUAACGCGUGGGAACCUGCUCUUAGGUUCGGAAUAACUCCCCGAAAGGGGUGCUAAUACCGGAUAAUGUCUUCGGACCAAAGAUUUAUCGCCUUUGGAUGGGCCCGCGUUGGAUUAGCUAGUUGGUAGGGUAAAAGCCUACCAAGGCGACGAUCCAUAGCUGGUCUGAGAGGAUGAUCAGCCACACUGGGACUGAGACACGGCCCAGACUCCUACGGGAGGCAGCAGUGGGGAAUAUUGGACAAUGGGCGAAAGCCUGAUCCAGCAAUGCCGCGUGAGUGAUGAAGGCCUUAGGGUUGUAAAGCUCUUUUACCCGGGAUGAUAAUGACAGUACCGGGAGAAUAAGCGCCGGCUAACUCCGUG